rnacentral:lncRNA from 1 species
CCAGAGGGGUUUUAGGGGGGUUUGGGAGUCCCUGAAGGGGUUUUAGGUGGUCUCAGAGGGAUUUGGGAGGUCCUUGGGGGUAUCUGGGGCUUCCAACACGGUCAGUUGGAGUGGGGAGUCCCUCAUUUUGGGCUGCCCCAACCUAACAUUGGGCUCCCAGCACCCCACUUGGGGGGUUCACCCUCACUCGGGGCUCCCUCCCCCCGUUGCCGGGGUGGUUGUUGGGUCGCACCUCCCCCCCACCCGUGCUCCACCUGUUGUCCUCCCCCAGGACUGGUGUCUUCGGAGCGCUCCAGCCUCGAAUUCCUGCUGAGCCGCACGGGGCGGGGCACGUGGCCAUGCUCCUGGGGGGGGGGCCGAGGCGCUGGAUGUGCAUCCCGGGGGUGCUGCGCCUGUGCCUGCAGCACCGCACCGGCUACAUGCGCAGCGCCCUACGCCACAGUUAGCCAUAGGGCCCAACAUCAUCACAGGACCUUCAUCACAGGAGAACUGAGAUUGGAAGGGACGCCAGGAGGUCUCAAGACCAACCUGCCAGAAACAGGGUCAGACCAAGUGGUUCAAGGCUUGAUUCAGUCUGACUUGGAAAACCCCAAGGCCAGAGACUGCACAGCCUCUCUGGGGGACCUGAUGCAGCACUUGCCUCAGAGUAUGGGAGCAAGGUUUCCUUAUGUCCUGGCUGAACCUCUCCUCUGUCCCUAUCCCCCAUUGCCUUUUGUCCUCCCACCAGGCACCAUGAUGAGGAGCCUGGCUCUGUAUUCUCCAUGUCCUCCCUGCCGGUACAGGCAGCCAGUCCCUGACAGCCUUCCCUUCCCAAGAUCUCCGGUCCCCAUCAGCCUUCCCUUCUCCAGGCUGGACAAGCCCAGCUCCCCCAGCCUCUCCCCACAGGCAAUGUGCUCCUGUCCCUGGCUCUCCUGAGGGCCCGUUGCUAAACCCACUCCUGCUUGCCAAUAUUGUUCCUGAACUGGGGAUCUGAAACCUGGAUGGAGUAUUCCAGGGCAUCCCUUCCCUUGUUCUCAUGCCGUGCUCCUGGUCGUACAGCUCAAGGUGCUGCUGUCCUCCCUUGCUGCCAGGGCAUGCGCUGCCUCCUGUCCAGCUCCUGCCCACCCAGACUUUUGCCAUGGGCUGCUCCCAGCCAGGCAGCCCCAGCCUGUGCCGUUGCAGGUGAGUCCCCUGCAGGGACACCUAUGUCCCCUCCUCUCCUCCUCAGGACAGACACCCUGAGAGUUCUGUAGCCCCCCCAUGCCAUCCCAUCUCCCCACACCAGCACAGCAGCCCUGGCCCUGGGGCUCCUCAAGAGCUCUGUCUGCUCCAGGCAGAGAGCAGCCAUCCCAGAGCUGGAGCAGCCAGAAAGCUGAUUUCAUUCCCCUUCAUUCCCACUAUGUGAGGACAUAUCACAGAGAAGAAGUUGCUGCAGUAUCAUUUAUUUCCCUUAAAUACAAUGAUAGACCCCCAUUGACACAAAGUCUGUGGGUCAGACAAGGUGGGCAGAUACUGAAGUAGCAGGGGAUGAAUACUGACAUGUCGUUGAAGACAACAACAUCACAAGUGGAAAAACAAAAAACAAACAUAAAGCAGGAAAGAGGGACUUGGCCUGUCAUGACCUACACUGGGAGCCCUUUGCAGAGGAAAGGAGGCAUUGUAUGGCUGCUGAAACACAUCCAGUCACCAGCUUCCUCACAGCAUCCUUGAGCUCCUGGUUCCUCAGGCUGUAGAUGAUGGGGGUUCACUGCUGGACGCACCACCGAGUACAGCACUGACACCACCAGAUCCAGGGAUGGGGAAGAAGUGGAAUGGGGCUUCAGGUAGGUAAAUGCUGGAGUGCUGACAAGCAGGGAGGCACGUGGAAAAGGCUCUGUGGUGUCCCUGCUCAGAGGGGAUCCUCAGCAUAGCCCUGAAGAUCUGCACAUAGGACCCCACCAUAAAAACAAAACACAUAGAAAAAUAGAAAAGCAGAAAAAACAAGAAUUCCAACUUCCCUGAGGUAGGAGAGUGAGCAGGAGAGCUUGAGGAGCUAGGAGAUUUCACAGAAGAACUGGUCCAGGGCAUUGCCCUGGCGGAGCGGUGGUGAAAACGUAUUGGCUGUGCGCAGCAGAGCGGUGAGAAACCCAUUGCCCGAGGCAGUUGCUGCCAUAUGCACACAAGCCCUGCUGCCUAGAAGGGUCCUGUAGUGCAAGGGCU